CCUAAAAAUUGUCAGCUGACUUCAAAAAUUAAACAUAUAAUAAUUUUGACCACAUAAGGUAAGGGUAAAAUUGUAACUCUAUAAUUUUAAUAUU